GGAAGCACGGCUAACUACGUGCCAGCAGCCGCGGUAAUACGUAGGGUGCAAGCGUUGCCCGGGAUUCACUGGGCGUAAAGGGUGCGUAGGCGGAUCCGCAAGUCGAUUGUGAAAUCUCCGGGCUCAACCCGGAAACUGCGGUCGAUACUGCAGAUCUAGAGGACAGAAGAGGAGAGCGGAACUCCUGGUGUAGCGGUAAAAUGCGUGGAUAUCAGGAGGAACGCCUAUGGCGAAAGCAGCUCUCUGGUAUGUUCCUGACGCUGAAGCACGAAAGCUAAGGUAGCAAACCGGAUUAGAUACCCGGGUAGUCUUAGCCGUAAACAAUGUACACUAGGUAUUGGCAAUGGUCAGUGCCGCAGCUAACGCGAUAAGUGUACCGCCUGGGGACUACGGCCGCAAGGCUAAAACUCAAAGGAAUUGACGGGGCCCCGCACAAGCGGUGGAUGAUGCGGUUUAAUUCGUUGCUACGCGAAGAACCUUACCUGGGCUUGACAUGUACGUAGUACGGAUCCGAAAGGUGAAGGACCGGGGUUUUCCCCGGAGCGUACACAGGUGCUGCACGGCUGUCGUCAGCUCGUGCCGUGAGGUGUUGGGUUAAGUCCCGCAACGAGCGCAACCCCUGCCGAUAGUUGCCAUCAGGUUAUGCUGGGCACUCUAUCGGGACUGCCCGGGUUAACCGGGAGGAAGGUGGGGAUGAUGUCAAGUCAUCGUGGCCUUUAUGCCCAGGGCGACACGCGUCAUACAGUGGCCGUUACAACGGGCAGCUACAUCGCGAGAUGAUGCUAAUCCCUUAAAGGCGGCCAUGGUUCGGAUUGCAGGCUGCAACUCGCCUGCAUGAAGAUGGAAUCGCUAGUAAUCACAGAUCAGCCAUGCUGUGGUGAAUGCGUUCUCGGGGCUUGCACACACCGCCCGU
rnacentral:rRNA from 1 species